GGUUUUGUGGUGUAGUGGUUGUGACGUCUGCUCAACGCACAGAAGGUCGCCGGUUUGAUCCCGGUAAGGAUCU